CCUAACACAUGCAAGUCGAGCGGUAACAUUUCUAGCUUGCUAGAAGAUGACGAGCGGCGGACGGGUGAGUAACGCGUAGAAAUCUACCUAGUAGUGGGGGAUAGCCCAGAGAAAUUUGGAUUAAUACCGCAUACGCCCUACGGGGGAAAGCGGGGGAUCUUCGGACCUCGUGCUAUUAGAUGAGUCUGCGUCGGAUUAGCUUGUUGGUGAGGUAAUGGCUCACCAAGGCGACGAUCCGUAGCUGGUCUGAGAGGAUGACCAGCCACACUGGAACUGAGACACGGUCCAGACUCCUACGGGAGGCAGCAGGUGGGGAAUAUUGCACAAUGGGCGCAAGCCUGAUGCAGCCAUGCCGCGUGUGUGAAGAAGGCCGUUAGGGUUGUAAAGCUACUUUCAGCAGUGAGGAAAGGGGUGUCGUUAAUAGCGCCAUCCUGUGACGUUAGCUGCAGAAGAAGGACCGGCUAACUCCGUG
rnacentral:rRNA from 1 species